GCUUUCUUGGUGUAGUUGGUUAUCACGUGAGUCUCAUAUGUUUCAUAUGACCGUCUGCUCAACAGAUGGAUAGAAAUCUCAAGGUCACCAGUUCGAACCUGGUAGAGAGCA